rnacentral:rRNA from 1 species
AUGGUGGUUAACCGUAUUAUGAAAGACGGAAAAAAAUCAUUGGCUUAUCAAAUUCUCUAUCGAGCCGUGAAAAAUAUUCAACAAAAGAUAGAAACAAAUCCACUAUUGGUUUUACGUCAAGCAAUACAUAGAGUAACUCCCAAUAUAGGAGUAAAAACAAGACAUAAUAAAAAAGGAUUGACGCGGAAAGUUCCGAUUGAAAUAGGAUCUAAACAAGGAAGAGCACUUGCCCAUCGUUGGUUAUUAGAAGCAUCCCAAAAGCGUCCGGGUCGAAAUAUGGCUUUCAAAUUAAGUUCCGAAAUAGUAGAUGCUGCCAAAGGGAGUGGGGGUGCCAUACGCAAAAAGGAAGCGACUCAUAGAAUGGCAGAGGCAAAUAGAGCUCUUGCACAUUUUCGUUAA